AAGAAUACUUUAAAAGAAAACCAAAUGCUCAGACUUGGUCAGCAACCUAAGUGGUUUUGACCCUAAUGUACAUUAAGGUCCAUCUCUGUGGCACACAGAUGAGGUGUUUUCAUUCUUCAUCCUUCGUCUUCAUUUUCUCCUGAUACCACCAUGUUUCACUGUCACUUAGCAAAUGUUUGUGUUAAACAGGGUAAAUAGAGAUGCCAAGAUCUCAUCGUUGUGGCAUAGCGCCAGUGUAUGUGCUGUGGGGAGCUGUUAUCUGUAUAAAAUUAUUGUUUAAUAGUGGAAAUAUUUGUUUCUGUUCUUCAGGUGUCUCAUGAUUUAAAUUUUGUAUGUUGAAUUAAAAUAUUGCAUAAUAUUGAUGGGUUCAAAACCAUUAAAAUAAUCAAACAAUUAUUCUGUGGGUUUAGUUUUAUUUCCUUGUAUUUUCAAUCAAAUACUCUUUCCAUCUUCACUUUCUUAUAACGUCCCAUCCACAUAAGCUAUUUUGUUUUCCCUCUCUGCUCACCCACCUCCUUAAAUUGAUAUAGUAACAGAAUAUAUUUGUGCUAGAGAACUUGAAAUACUACUGGAGCAUGUAUUUAUUUGGGGGGAAGCCAAAGCCUAUAAUUACGCCUAA
rnacentral:lncRNA from 1 species